UACGUAGGGACCGAGCGUUGUCCGGAUUCAUUGGGCGUAAAGAGCUCGUAGGCGGCUGUUCAAGUCGAACGUGAAAACUCGGAGCUCAACUCCGAGCCUGCGUUCGAUACUGGACGGCUAGAGUCUGGUAGGGGGAUCGUGGAAUUCCUGGUGUAGCGGUGGAAUGCGCAGAUAUCAGGAGGAACACCGGUGGCGAAGGCGGCCAUCUGGGAUACAACUGACGCUGAGGCGCGAAAGCGUGGGGAUCAAACAGG
rnacentral:rRNA from 1 species